AUUGAACGCUAGCGGCAGGCUUUACACAUGCAAGUCGAACGAGUGGCGGACGGGUGAGUAAUAUAUAGGAACGUGCCCAGUAGCGGGGGAUAACUACUCGAAAGAGUGGCUAAUACCGCAUACUAUCGGAGCGGCCGAUAUUGGAUUAGCUAGUCGGUGGGGGAAAGGCUCACCAAGGCAACGAUGCGUAGCUGGUCUGAGAGGACGACCAGCCACACUGGGACUGAGACACGGCCCAGACUCCUACGGGAGGCAGCAGUGGGGAAUUUUGGACAAUGGGGGAAACCCUGAUCCAGCCAUCCCGCGUGUAUGAGAAGGCCUUCGGGUUGUAAAGUACUUUUGGCAGAGAAGCGGUAUCUGCAGAAUAAGCACCGGCUAACUCCGUGCCAGCAGCCGCGGUAAUAC
rnacentral:rRNA from 1 species